GUACUCGCUUCCGCAGCACAUACACUAAAAGUGGGAUGACACAGAGAAGGUUAUCAGCAUGGCCCCUAUGCAAGGAUGACAUGCAAGCGUGAAAUAUGAAACGUUCCA
rnacentral:snRNA from 1 species